AUAGGUCCUAUUGUUGAUGACAUGUUCCACUGGUAAGCAUGCUAACCUCUAUGUGGCAGCAAUUCUCCUUUUUAUUUUUUGUGUUUGAAGGAGUUUUUGAUUGUCUACUUGUUGCUUCCAGGAACUGGACUUUCUGACAGCAGAAUGCUUUCAGAUUUUUGUGACUAGUGUAGCUGUACCUAAACUGUCUUGGAGUUUUGUGUGGCGCCUCUAAUGCAUUUCUGCUUUCAUUUCUGUUGCCUAUUUGCUUAUGCUUGAUGGAACUUGUUGUUAGUGUUUUACCUAUUUGAUCUAUUAUGUUGCAGCCUCAGUCUGUCUAGUUAAGGAUCUUGGCCUGACUCAGUCAACUAGCAAGUACUAGAGGCAUGGAGAGUUUAAAUAAGUGACGACCGGAUAUUUGCAGCUCUAUUUACGAGUACAUCUGAACAACCUCAUUUUGCUGCGCAAGUCAUCUAAGUCCAAAACAAAUAAGGCUUGCAGCUGAUUGGCCUCCAACAAUGCAAAUAGUUCGCCUUAUAUCUCAGGAUCACAUGAAAAAAAAGCAAUAUGUUGGCAAGGCAGAUUUCUUAGUUUUCCGGGCACUAAAUCAGCACGGUUUUCUUGGACAACUACAAGAAAAGAAGCUUGUGAGUCAUGUGGAGUUUCAACUGUUACUUAGUUUUGUUGAUGUGUUUAUUCAGCUGCCUAUAUUGUAUCCGUCUUUCA